GUGCGACAGAAGCUGGCAUAUGAACGUUGAUAACACGAUGAAAUCUACGUGGGACCCACCACCUCGACGCCAAGCUCAUCUCGGAUUCAUACUAUGGUAUUAGACUUCUUCAUCUUAGUACCAUCAGGCAUGUGUGCUCUGUUUUUGAAGUCCAUCAUGUGUAUCGUGAGUCCAGUAAGGUGGCUCACUGCCUUGCUAAACCGGGCCUCCGUCUUUCAGAGGUGUUUAUGGAUGGAGGAAGUCCCUCCAUCGGCAGCUGAUGCUUUGAACCAGGAUUUGCCUGUUUAAUUUUUAAUACAUUUCC
rnacentral:misc_RNA from 1 species